GACGAACGCUGGCGGCGUGCUUAACACAUGCAAGUCGAACGAAGUGGCGAACGGGUGAGUAACGCGUAAUCAACCUGCCCUUCAGAGGGGGACAACAGUUGGAAACGACUGCUAAUACCGCAUACUGAAGUAGGGGAAUGCGUGUGAUUAGCUAGUUGGAGGGGUAAAGGCCCACCAAGGCGAUGAUCAGUAGCCUGUCUGGGAGGAGGAACGGCGACACUGGGACUGAAACACGGCCCAGACGCCUAGUGGAGGCAGCAGUGGGGAAUCUUCCGCAAUGGACGAAAGUCUGACGGAGGAACGCCGCGGGAGUGAUGACGGCCUUCGGGUUGUAAAGCUCUGUUAAUCGGGACGCGGUACCGGAAGAGAAAGCCACGGCUAACUACGUGCCAGCAGCCGCGGUAAUUC
rnacentral:rRNA from 1 species